AGAGUUUGAUCAUGGCUCAGGAUGAACGCUAGCGGCAGGCUUGACACAUGCAAGUCGAGGGGUAUAGGUUUUCGGACCUAGAGACCGGCGCACGGGUGCGUAACGCGUAUGCAAUCUACCUUUUACAGAGGGAUAGCCCAGAGAAAUUUGGAUUAAUACCUCAUAGUAUUAUUGAAUGGCAUCAUUUAAUAAUUAAAGUCACAACGGUAAAAGAUGAGCAUGCGUCCCAUUAGCUAGUUGGUAAGGUAACGGCUUACCAAGGCAACGAUGGGUAGGGGUCCUGAGAGGGAGAUCCCCCACACUGGUACUGAGACACGGACCAGACUCCUACGGGAGGCAGCAGUGAGGAAUAUUGGUCAAUGGGCGCAAGCCUGAACCAGCCAUGCCGCGUGCAGGAUGACGGUCCUAUGGAUUGUAAACUGCUUUUGUACAGGAAGAAACAGUUCUACGUGUAGAACCUUGACGGUACUGUAAGAAUAAGGAUCGGCUAACUCCGUGCCAGCAGCCGCGGUA
rnacentral:rRNA from 1 species